GGAAUUCGAUUGGGGCACAAGACGGUGGAGCAUGGUGGGUGUUAAUGUCGAUGCAACGCGAAGAACCUUACCAGGGCUUGACAUGGUGCAGAACCCUCUUGAAAGGGAGGGGUGCCUUCGGGAGCUGCAACACAGGUGGUGCAUGGCUGGUUCGUCAGGCCUCGUGUUCGUGAGAAUGUUUGGGUUUAAGUCCCCGCAAACGAGCGCAACCCUCGUUUCUAGUUGCCAUCAUUAAGUUGGGCACUCUGGAGAGAACUGCCGGUGACAAACCGGAGGAAGGUGGGGAUGACGUCAAGUCCUCAUGGCCCUUAUGGGCUGGGCUACACACGUGCUACAAUGGCGGUGACAGUGGGACGCCAGGUCGCAAGGCCGAGCCGAUCCCCAAAAGCCGUCUCAGUUCGGAUUGCACUCUGCAACUCGGGUGCAUGAAGGUGGAAUCGCUAGUAAUCGUGGAUCAGCACGCCACGGUGAAUACGUUCCCGGGC
rnacentral:rRNA from 1 species